CCUUUUGUUUUUCUUGUUUCUUAAUUAUUUUUGUUUUUUUUUUUUUACUUUCUUUUGCUGGCCAUUCUUUCUUUCGUUUCUAUUAUUCUUUGUCCUCUACUUUUCUUUCUUUGUUUGUUUUGUUGCCACUCACACUUAUUGCUCCCAAUUCACGUUUUUGUUUCCAUUUUUUCCUCUCUUCAAAUUUCGAACUAGUGUGGUGAUUGUGUGCAAUUCUAUCUUAAGGAGAAGAAUAAGAGGGAAGAGGCGAUUCUCCAGUGAUUUAAGUUCAUCUGUUGCUGUUGCGUGCUUGAUAACAUACAAUGAGUACACGUGAAACUCGUGAAUGCAGUAAUUGUGGGCACGGCGGGCGCCGAAGAGGGCUCGAGUUGAGACGCCACAAGCGUUACCGUUGG